rnacentral:rRNA from 1 species
CAGUCGCCGCGGGAAUACGUAGGUGGCAAGCGUUGUCCGGAAUUAUUGGGCGUAAAGGGCUCGCAGGCGGUUUCUUAAGUCUGAUGUGAAAGCCCCCGGCUCAACCGGGGAGGGUCAUUGGAAACUGGGAAACUUGAGUGCAGAAGAGGAGAGUGGAAUUCCACGUGUAGCGGUGAAAUGCGUAGAGAUGUGGAGGGACACCAGUGGCGAAGGCGACUCUCUGGUCUGUAACUGACGCUGAGGAGCGAAAGCGUGGGGAGCGAACAGGAUUAGAUACCCCGGUAGUCCCUGUCUCUUAUAC